rnacentral:lncRNA from 1 species
CCCAUGGUUUGACAUAUAAAAGAAAAUAUACGAACAUGAGAAUAAACAACUUCAAUUCGUUUGUGUCACAUAAUAUUUUCAAAAUCUGUUGCUAACAUUUGACUAACAAAAUCAGAUAUGUUAUCCAUAAUUGAUUACUUUGCAGUUUGAAAAUUUUCAGCUUUUUUCAUAAGACAAUCGAUUAUUAAACACACACAAUCGAUUGUUUGAACUUAGACAAUCGAUUGUUAAACACACACAAUCGAUUAUUUGUUAUUUUUGAAAAACUUCAGAU